rnacentral:rRNA from 1 species
UACGGAGGAUGCAAGCGUUAUCCGGAAUGAUUGGGCGUAAAGCGUCCGCAGGUGGCAAUGUAAGUCUGCUGUCAAAGCGUCUGGCUCAACCAGAUAAAGGCAGUGGAAACUACAUAGCUAGAGUAAGGUAGGGGUAGAGGGAAUUCCUGGUGUAGCGGUGAAAUGCGUAGAGAUCAGGAAGAACACCGGUGGCGAAAGCGCUCUGCUGGACCUUAACUGACACUGAGGGACGAAGGUCAGGGGAGCAAACGGG